rnacentral:rRNA from 1 species
CUGGUGUGAAUUGCAGAAUCCCGUGAACCAUCGAGUUUUUGAACGCAAGUUGCGCCCGAAGCCAUUCGGCUGAGGGCACGUCUGCCUGGGCGUCACGC